rnacentral:rRNA from 1 species
GACGAACCGUGCGAACGUUGUUCGGAAUCACUGGGCUUAAAGGGCGCGUAGCCGGCUCCGCAAGUCGGGGGUGAAAUCUUUCGGCUUAACCGGAAAAGUGCCUCUGAUACUGCGGAGCUCGAGGGAGGUAGGGGCGGACGGAACUUCCGGUGGAGCGGUGAAAUGCGUUGAUAUCGGAAGGAACGCCGGUGGCGAAAGCGGUCCGCUGGCCCUCUACUGACGCUGAGGCGCGAAAGCCAGGGGAGCAAACGGG